rnacentral:rRNA from 1 species
UACAGAGGGUGCAAGCGUUGUUCGGAAUUAUUGGGCGUAAAGCGCGUGUAGGCGGCUUUGCAAGUCGGGUGUGAAACCUCCAGGCUCAACCUGGAGACGCCACCCGAUACUGCUGUGGCUAGAGUCCGGUAGGGGAGCGUGGAAUUCCUGGUGUAGCGGUGAAAUGCGCAGAUAUCAGGAGGAACACCAGCGGCGAAGGCGGCGCUCUGGGCCGGUACUGACGCUGAGGAGCGAAAGCGUGGGGAGCAAACAGG